AGGAUUAUAGCUUAAUAAAACAUUUGAUUUGCAUUCAAAAAAUAUUAAUUAAUUUUAAUUUAUCUUA
rnacentral:tRNA from 1 species